AACUUCACGCGUUAGCUACGGUACUAAAUGGUUUUACCCACCCAACACCUAGUUGACAUCGUUUAGGGCGUGGACUACCAGGGUAUCUAAUCCUGUUUGCUACCCACGCUUUCGUGCAUGAGCGUCAGUAUCGGCCCAGGGGGCUGCCUUCGCCAUCGGUGUUCCUCCACAUCUCUACGCAUUUCACUGCUACACGUGGAAUUCCACCCCCCUCUGCCGUACUCUAGCUGUGCAGUCACAAGCGCAGUUCCCAGGUUGAGCCCGGGGAUUUCACGCCUGUCUUACACAACCGCCUGCGCACGCUUUACGCCCAGUAAUUCCGAUUAACGCUCGCACCCUACGUAUUACCGCGGCUGCUGGCACGUANUUAGCCGGUGCUUCUUAUUCCGGUACCGUCAUCCACACCAGGUAUUAGCUGAUGCGAUUUCUUCCCGGCCGAAAGAGCUUUACAACCCGAAGGCCUUCUUCACUCACGCGGACAUGGCUGGAUCAGGGUUGCCCCCCAUUGUCCAAAAUUCCNACUGCUGCCUCCCGUUAGG
rnacentral:rRNA from 1 species